AAUUUCAGCUGAAAAAGUCAUGAACAUAAAAGUUGUAGAGCACAUCAAGAAAUACAACUUUUAUUUUGGUCAUUUCUUCGCCCGAUAAAGUGAUAGUAGUAUUAUUUACAAAGUUUACAUAUCUCUCUUAUAGUUUAUAGAACCAAAUGAGAUAGAUGUAAAUUUUGUGAACAAUGUUACUAUCACUUUGUCGGAUGAAGAAAUGACUAAAAUAAAAGUUAUAGAUGAGUUAUACAACUUUGUUGUUGAUGACUUUUUCAGUUGAAAUC
rnacentral:pre_miRNA from 2 species